ACAAUAGGCAUUUCUUUUUAAAUAGAUGGGAUAUAAACAUCCACUCAAGGUGCAGUCAAACAAUGAACAGAAUGUUGGGGAUCAUUAAGAAAGGGACAGAGAACAAGACAGAAAGAUGAUAAAAAAGAAAAGAACCUAACUGACUUCCUGUUCUACAAAGCCAUGCAGAAUUCUGGGAUAUGAGAACCUGCAAGGCAGAUAUGAACCAUUAAAGAAAUAGGAUUUCAACAGGCAGGGAAAGAACAGGAGUAGGACUUCGUUUAUUUCUGCUCUUGCUGAGUAAGCCUGAGACACCGACCACAGGGAUCAUUUUCUGAUAGUUACAAGCAUCCAAAAGGACUGAACAUCUUGAAAACAAAUAGAAGAUAUACUGGAAGUGAAAUGUACAAUAGUCCAACCGGAGAGAACCUGGUUUUCUCAUGAGCAAUUCUUGGCUGGUAAAUCUACUACUGUUAUUACUGGUUUUUAGAAAGUAUGUACCAAGAUAGAUCUAAGUAGUCAGGUUGGUAGACUAGUCUUAUAACUAAGUUCAGAGAAGAAUAAUGCUAUUCUCUCUCUUGUAAGUCUUUUACUGAAACCACUUGUGUCAUUAAAACAAUGUCAGCCAGGCAUUUGCUACACCAGUAAUAGAUCUAGUCCAACAAUAGAAAAUACCCUUGGAUCAAUCAGAGAGAUCUAUUGAAAAUAUACUGGAAGAAGCAAAGACUUCAGUCCACAAGUUGACUAAUGAAGGUUCUUAUAUUGACUUCUUAAAAGAAGAAGACAAAGUGUUUAAGCCAGCAGAAAAAGUACAGACUUGCAUGAAAAGUCAACUUGCAUUAAUAUCAUUAAUUUAUUGUAAACAUAAUGUUCAAGGGAGGGAAAUAAAAUGCAUUUUUUUUAAAUCUCUGAAAUUGAUCAUGUAAAGAAAGCCGGUUAAGGUGACGUCAUGAGUAGACGAUAUCAGCAACUUCCAAGGCAAAACAGUGUUGUGUAUGUUACUGGAAAGCUGGGAGUAUCCCCAUUUGAAUGCUAUCAAAUAAG